AUAGCCUGUAAACUGAAGACGUCCCUUCGUUUCCACUCCCAUCCCCUGCCUGUACCAUACAAAUCCCCAUUACAACCUGGAACCCUAGCGAAGUUUAAUUUACGCUCUCUCCAAUCUAACUUUUUCUCUCGAUCUGGAACCCUACCCUCUCCACUGGGAUGACGAAUACUAGAGAUGUAGAACACCGAUUUGAAGAAACCCUAACCGUUUUGUAGUGUGGAAAUAGAAAGAGGCUGGGAUGUGUGAUACUGAUAGUUGAUAGUGAAUUAAUCAGAUGAAAAUGGAAUUGUUGUGCAGCAAAUAAACAUGUUUCAACGUGUUGAUUGAAGGGUUAUAAAUGAACAAGAUUCAUAUCAUCAUCCUCUCCUUCAUCCCCUCAAAUUCUCAGCAGCAACAAAUAUGAAGAUUAUUUGAAUCCACGGUCUCGUAACGUCGGUGCUUGUGUUGUUACUUUCACUGCUGGUGGACUUGGUGUUCUCAACGCUAUUGCGGGUGCUUACUGUGAGAAUCUUCUACUGAUUUGUAUUGUCGGUGGACCGAAUUCGAAUGAUUACGUUACUAACAUGAUUCUUCAUCAUACUAUCGAAAUGCCGGAUUUUAACCAGGAGCUUCGUUGUUUUUAGACUGUUACUUGUUAUCAGGUAUAAUGAUUUUAACCUGUUUCAACCCGACAAAAUUGCCCCUAGAUGUACAAUCUAUUUAAGAAACAUUUUUUAACCGACCCGAACAGGUUUUGACCCACGACCCGACCCGAC